rnacentral:misc_RNA from 1 species
CGGAAACACGGUGCCGGAUAACGUCCGGCGGGGGCGACCCCAGGGAAAGUGCCACAGAAAGCAAACCGCUCCGCUUGCGGAGUAAGGGUGAAAGGGUGGGGUAAGAGCCCACCGCGGCCAUGGCAACAUGGACGGCACGGCAAACCCCACCGGGAGCAAGACCGAAUAGGGACGACACGGGUGCGCAAGCGCCCAGCCGGUUUCCAGGCGCGUCGUCCGGGUGGGUUGCACGAGGCUGCGCGCAAGCGCAGUCCCAGAUGAAUGGCUGCCACGUUUCGUCUCCUCGGAGGCGAAG